rnacentral:rRNA from 1 species
GACGAACGCUGGCGGCGUGCUUAACACAUGCAAGUCGAACGGAAAGGCCCUGCUUUUGUGGGGUGCUCGAGUGGCGAACGGGUGAGUAACACGUGAGUAACCUGCCCUUGACUUUGGGAUAACUUCAGGAAACUGGGGCUAAUACCGGAUAGGAGCUCCUGCUGCAUGGUGGGGGUUGGAAAGUUUCGGCGGUUGGGGAUGGACUCGCGGCUUAUCAGCUUGUUGGUGGGGUAGUGGCUUACCAAGGCUUUGACGGGUAGCCGGCCUGAGAGGGUGACCGGCCACAUUGGGACUGAGAUACGGCGCAGACUCCUACGGGAGGCAGCAGUGGGGAAUAUUGCACAAUGGGCGGAAGCCUGAUGCAGCAACGCCGCGUGCGGGAUGACGGCUUUCGGGUUGUAAACCGCUUUCGCCUGUGACGAAGCGUGAGUGACGGUAAUGGGUAAAGAAGCACCGGCUAACUACGUG